AUUAAGUAGCAAUUGCUAGUAAGCCGUUAUAGUUUUCUUUGUAAUUUCAUUAUAGGGGAACCUGUUGUACCUUGACCCCCGUUGUACCUAGAGCCACUUAGAUUUUUUUAAUGUUCGCACUUUUUUUCUAACACUUUUUGUCUCUUUGUUUAUAACAUAGUGCGCUUUGAUAAGACUGAUCAACAUGAAGUUAGUUGCAGGCGGCCAUUGCAUCGAGUUUGCAUGGGAGAUCAGUUAAACGUUUUCGCCGCAAAAAAGUAAAAUGUCUCGUAGCAUAAACAAAAUAAAGGGAAUCCUAUUUC
rnacentral:lncRNA from 1 species